GAAAACUUGAUGGUUUGCACAUCCAUACCUCUACCAAGAAGCUUUUGACCACAGUAUCUUUCCAGUUUAGCUUUUGCUGCUCAAUUCCUUCAUUUGGGCAAGCAUUGCUUCGUUUGGACUCAGCAACUACGAUGAGACCAUCUAGCUGCAGGAAAGCAAGCACAGUGUUCUCACUGACUCUACAUUAUGGUUGAACUCUGGCUCAAAUAUGUCUGAAGUGUCAAUGGAAAAUUGAGCCUCGCCAUUCUCAUCUGUAGUGUAAUUUCCUAUAAAUUCAUCAUUGAGCUCCAGUUGCAACAACUUGUUCACCAGAGGUACAUUAUCGG